GUUCACUUCAGCCGCACAUAUACAAAAAUCGGAACGAUAGAGAGAUUGGUAAGGCCCUUCGGCAAGAAUGACAUACAAAGUCAUGAAACAUUCCAUUUUUUU
ensembl:snRNA U6 U6 spliceosomal RNA